CCCUUUAUUUUAAAUUGUAAACUUGUUAUCUCUAACUGCAAAUAUUUCAAAAACCAUAUAAUCCGUUUUCUUAAUAUCUGGCUAGCAACACUCAGUUAAGUUCUGCUAUGAAACGAUAUCGGGAAUACUUAGAGAUGUAGGAAGAGUAUCGAGUGUAUACACGUAACGUUUUUUCUCUAGCGUAAUAUUUGUCUUGUUUACUGGUGUUGAUAUUUCUACAAUGAUUGAAAUUAUUCUAUUUACUGGUUUGUGAUGCUGGAAAUUUUGGCGAAACGUUUAGAGGGUUCCUAGUGGUUAUCUAUUAAAUUAUGUGCAGUGAAGUUAAAAUGCAUUUGUGUAUUUGGCAGAAACUUUAACUUAAUGUCUUGACAAAACAUGUUGGAAAUGGAUACAGUAAUUAGAGAUGAAGAUUCCGAUUACAAUAUGGCAACAUCAGCAUCCAAUAACAGUUCUGCUGUAUCCACGAUUUUACAGAUAUGUCAAUCAAGCUGCACUGAUUACGUAGGAGUUCUGCCUCCACCGCACAUCGACAUGGUAAGCGUGAAUAGUGUUGAACUAAAUGCUCAAACAUCGUUAAGUGAUGACUCUGGCGUUCCACUUACAACUAACAGUUCAAUAUCUAGUGGAGAUUCAUAUCGAUUGGGAUUAUAUAAACAUGACAUUGAUAUUGUGGAAAGUGAUGGUGAAGUCUCUCAGUUUGAUUCUUUAGAUAAUUGUUCAGAAGCUGGCAUGAGUGCGGAAAAUUUUAAUACAUUAAAAAAAGGACCUUUAGCACCAAUAGAUCCUCCACUAGAGUUUCAGGACUCACCAAAUAUAACAAUUGGCCGAUGUAUUAUGCAAAAACUAAGGCGGUUUUCUUCUUCACACUCUUCUUUGGAACAUUCAAAAGACUCUGAGCAUAAUGAUAAUAGUAUUAACGUGGACAGAAUUUUUUGUAAAGACUCAGAUGUAGAAGUCUCACCCCAAUAUUUUGCAAAAUCACACAAAGAAGUUUACCUCAUAAAGAAACCAAUAUACUCAAGCGAUUCCAUUCUAAGUAAUAAAGUAGAAAAUGUGUACGACGAGCCAAGUAACCUGAUAUGUAAUUUCGCUUUUAAUAAUGCUGAAACAUUUGAGUCAAAUACGUCUUCAAAUGCAAUGUUGUUGCCACAAACUUCGCAUCCCCCAGAAAGAGUAAUAAGGGACAUCUGUCCUUUUUAUCAAGAUCACUCUAUGUAUUUUAAGGCAAUACCGUCAGAUCAAGAUAGUGGUAUAAGUGCUGUUAAGAAGUUCAAUACAUUUGGGCGCUCAGAAAUCCAUGAUUAUGAUCUCUAUUAUGGAAUUAAACGAAAUACCUUUCAAGGAGAAAAUGGUUUACAAAGAAAGGUCCUGUACAGUCCUCGUAAAGUUACAAAUUAUUGUCAUAGCCAUCAUAUAUAUACAGGUUCAAAUGGGUGCAACAAUCGACCGAAUUCUCGUAAUUCUUUGAACAGUCGUCUCUCUAGUUCACAUAAUUCAUUAAGCACUUCAACUGCAAAUAAACCGGACGAUUCGAUAUUCAUUACUCAAGCAAUGUCCCACGAUGCAUUACUUACUCGGGAAAUAUCUGAUUUUUAUAACGUGCCCAUAGAUUCAGAUAUAUACGCUCUACCAAUAGAUAUGAUAAAAACGGAUAAAAUUAGCAGAGUUGAGUACAAAGAAGAUAAGCUAACGGAUUAUAGAAAAAUAAAUAAUUUAAUUUUCACCGAGGAAGACUAUUGUAAGCAUUCUAAACUAAGUCGUAAAAAUAAUAGAAACAAACGUAAAAAACGCAACAGUGAUACUUACGAAAAUGAUAUAAGAUAUGAUAAUUACAAGUUCACUUCAAAUGCUUACAAAUUAAAAAAUAAAAAGGCAGCUUUUUUGAAUGAAAAUGAGGAUUAUGGCACGCAUAGAUUAUCCAAUACUCAACUAGAUUUGAAUCCAUCUCAAGAACGACUCCACAUGACUUUGAGUGAAGUAAAAAAAUAUUAUCAAACUAUUUAUACUAGAACAAAAAACCGGACCAAUAUUAAUAAUGAAGCUGAUAAAACUGCUUUCAAAAAACAGUCCGAAUACACGAAAGGUAAUGAUUCAUCCCCACGUUCUAGACUUAACCUUUGCUCUAUCGGAGAAAAUGUUUCUACAGAAUGUAAAGUAACCACGAGAACUUUCAAAAGCUAUAACGAAAAUAAUGAUAAAAUCAACAAUAACAGCAUAAAUAACAUCGUGCUGGCCAAUAAUUAUAGUAUUACCGAAAACCAAAUUAUAAAAGUUGAUGAUGUGGAUUUAUCUUCUCAAGUCAUACGAAGCGAGAAGAAAACACAAUUUUCACUAAAUUUAAAACAAAAGUUUUGUAAUAUAUUUCGUAUUCGACGUACACAACCACAAUGUCAAACAAACCAGUCCGGUAUUGAAGAAAAUAAUAGUAUUCGCGAACGAAGAAGCACUGCAGAAAAACAGAAAAAAUUUCAAUCUAGAGCAUUGCCUCCAUUACCCAAGAAGACCGAGUCUUAUAUAGAGCAAUGCAGAGGAAACUCCACCAAAAAAGAGGAAGCAAGGUCUCUUCAAUUUACUUCUAGCAUUGAGAAAGUUAAGAAUUAUGGAUGGUACUGGGGUCCAUUAUCAAGUGAGGCAGCGGAGAAAGUCCUUUCAACGGAAUCAGAUGGAAGCUUCAUUGUACGUGACAGCUCUGACGAUCAUUACAUUUUUUCCCUAAGUUUUAAACUAAAUAAUAGUGUUCGUCAUGUUCGAAUAGAACAGGAUCAAGGUAAUUGUUUGCACUGAAAUUAAUUUUUUUUUAGUUUAAACUAAAGAACUACAAAAGCGAAUACAUAAACUAAGUUAAUUUUUUUUAAAUUUUUUUCUCGAUUAACAUGAUUUCACGUUUAAAUAAAUAUUGCAAACAGUGAAAAUUAUCGGAACAGUUUCUUAGGUUUAACAUCGCAACAUAGAGUUGCUAAUAUAGCUGCAACGAGAGCUACAAACGAAUUUGCCGACAAAAAAUACUUUUUGAAUAACUUUCAUGUUGUGGAUCCAAUAGCGAUAAAAUUUGCAACACUCAUGUAAACCAGGGCAUAUAUACUGUGUGUGAAAUUUCGUUGGGGCAGAAAGGGGGCGUGGCAAUACCAUAACAUAAAUUUGAUCCUUGAGAUGUGUUCUAAAGGAACCUGCAACAAAGUUAGCAAAAACCUUCAUACGAAACCUGUUAUCUAAAAAUUAGUCUUAUUUUGGGCAAAAAAAUACAAAAUACAAUUAAUGAUUAGUUCUUUGUUCAAUAAUAAUAAUUAUUCAUGAUUUAUUAAAAAAAUUAAUCAAAAUUAUCCAUUAUCGGUGAAGAAAAUAAUAAAUAUCAGAAAUUGAAAAAUCAUCAUGGAUCUUUGCAUCAUCGAAAAAAGAUUAACAUGACGUUACCUGUUUUUUUUUUGGUAUGUCGAUUCUAAGUAUUUGAUUCAUUUAAAAAUCGCAACAUUAAUCAUUAUUUACGGUCCCUGAAAAUAAAACAUAAUAAAAUGGAAAACAAUAACGUUCAUUGAAGUUUAAAUUACUUUAAAUACAAUAUAUUCAAUUAAUUUCUACGUUUGCUCUGAAAUUCGUAGAUUCCUGUGCGUUAAAUGCUACAGUUUUUCAAUUUGAUUAAAUUUAAGGGAUAUGAAAAUUUUUUUUAUAUCAACUUAAAAAAUGCAGCGUUUAGGCACAGUUAGUACAAUUAUUAAUAUACAUAAGCUGACACAUCAACAGGCAAUGUAAACUCUUAAAAAAUAUAUCACAACAAACAAGUAUUGGAAAAUGUAGAGAAAGUAUUUAAAGAGCGACGAUUUUUUUUCAUCAAUUUUGAUAAUUUAUUUGCUUAGAAACAUUUAUAAAUAAAUAAAAAGUAUAGUAUUAAUAUUUUCCUAAAGUUAUUCAAUGUAUACAAACUCGAAAAAUUGCAUAACAAUGUAGGCAACUGCUCAUUAGCAGAUCAAUAUUUCCUAACAGCAAUUAUUCUCGCACUGUAAUAAAUAGCAGUGCUAAAUAGUUUUGUUUAUUUUGCGAACAUGAGUCAUAUGAUUUGAGUCCGCUAAACAGCUUUUUGUCAGCUGAUAAUCUUGCUACGUCUAACCAGUUGGAAUAACUUAUUCAGCGGGUUAAUGCCGACAAUGCUGGAAAAAAUUCUACAAAAUUGGAACAAAAACAGUGUUUUAUAUAACAAAUCAUAAGUGCCCGAAAUUAUUUUCAAACACUGUAUUAAUAAGCAAUUAAAUUAAAUUUGUGCUUCGAAUUCGUGAGAAGUAUGCAGUCCCUUUUAGAUUGCUUUCAAUUUAUCUUCUCAAGUUUUAAGCAUAUUUGCUAUUUGCUAAUAAAUCUAUUUUGCUAUUACUGAUGUGCUUUUUUUAUAUUUUUCGGCAAGAAAAAACAAAUUUUACUAAUUUAUUAUAUUAUUAUUUUUAUUUGCUCCAAAUAUAUUGCCCAAAUUAUUUUAAUUUUAUUUACCUGUUUGUUUGGCACACCAAAAACCAAUUGGUAUAGAUAUUACUAUGUCAGAAGAUCAUAAUGACUUUUACCCAUGGCAGCUAUAACUUGGUUGAACCUUAAUAAAACUUUGCACAUGUGUUGCUGGGAUCGCAAAUGGCCGAAGUCGGGCUCUGGGCACGCUCAUAAAAUGCCAUUAAGCUAAACAUUUGACUGCCAUAAACAAAACUCCAAUUAUGUAUAAGGCAUAACAGCAAGGAAUGGCAGCUUUUAUACAAAGUUUUGGAAAAAUAUUCAUGUACAUUAACGUUGGGCACCAAUUUUGUAUAAGGCAUCGCAGUAGGGAAGGGCAGCUUUUUAUACAAAAUUUUGGAAAAGUAUUCGUGUACAUUAACGUUGGUCACCACUAGAUGAAAAACAUUUCGCAGUUGUCUGCUUCCUGUCAUGGUAUUGACAACUAAAUAAAAAUAAUCAGACAACGUGAAAUUAAAAUUUAUAGUUAUUUCUGCCAAAUUCGGGACGUUUUCAUUUGGCUCAUAUGCAAAAUUCAAAUCGCAGACUAUCACAGAAUUCAUCGAAAAGGCAGUCGAGCAUUCAAGAAGUGGAAGGUACUUAUUUUUCCUUCAUAGAAGACCAGAGCAUGGCCCAAUGAGAGUGCAGCUAACAAACCCAGUUUCAAGAUUUAAGCACGUCCAAAGUUUGCAGCAUAUGUGCAGAUUUGUGAUCUUAAAAACUGUUAUACGUAAAGACUUGAUACAAACGCUGCCGUUACCGCGAAGGCUUUUAGACUAUCUUAAUUAUAGGCAUUAUUUCUCUGAACAAAUUGAAAUAGAUAGUUCACACGUUCAGGUAAAUAUUUAAUCACAGGCAAUGAAGAUCCAAAUGCCUCAAACCCUAGCAAGAAUAUUAGGAAGACCGCGAAACAAGUAGAGAAAACUCUUCAAACAAACGUCGUCGAAGUAUUUUUGAAAAAAAAAACAUUAACUGAAAUAAAGUAAUAAUAUUAAAAAUAAAACUAAUAAUAUUUUAAACGUCAACUACAUCUUGUUAAUUUGCUUCGGUCAAGUUUAUUUCCUUUUAUGAACCAAAGGCUGCUUCUUAAUUUAUUUCCUUUCCCUGUUUCAUGCUACUCAGAAAUAGUUUAAAAGACACUAUGGUAGAUACUUUAUACAGUGUACAACAUCAAAUAAUAAUAUCCUAAUAUUAAGGGUCGAGCACGCGUUACUGUUGUAUAUAUCAAAUUAUAUUUAUUUAUUAGUUAGUUAGUAGUUAAAAUAAAAAUUUUAUUUACGAAUAAAGGCGAAAACGUUAUAGCAGGUAUAAACACAA